AGAGUUUGAUCCUGGCUCAGGACGAACGCUGGCGGCGUGCCUAAUACAUGCAAGUCGAGCGAUGAUUAAAGAUAGCUUGCUAUUUUUAUGAAGAGCGGCGAACGGGUGAGUAACGCGUGGGAAAUCUGCCGAGUAGCGGGGGACAACGUUUGGAAACGAACGCUAAUACCGCAUAACAAUGAGAAUCGCAUGAUUCUUAUUUGAAAGAAGCAAUUGCUUCACUACUUGAUGAUCCCGCGUUGUAUUAGCUAGUUGGUAGUGUAAAGGACUACCAAGGCGAUGAUACAUAGCCGACCUGAGAGGGUGAUCGGCCACACUGGGACUGAGACACGGCCCAGACUCCUACGGGAGGCAGCAGUAGGGAAUCUUCGGCAAUGGACGAAAGUCUGACCGAGCAACGCCGCGUGAGUGAAGAAGGUUUUCGGAUCGUAAAACUCUGUUGUUAGAGAAGAACGUUAAGUAGAGUGGAAAAUUACUUAAGUGACGGUAUCUAACCAGAAAGCCACGGCUAACUACGUGCCAGCAGCCGCGGUAAUACGUAGGUCCCAAGCGUUGUCCGGAUUUAUUGGGCGUAAAGCGAGCGCAGGCGGUUUCUUAAGUCUGAUGUGAAAGCCCCCGGCUCAACCGGGGAGGGUCAUUGGAAACUGGGAGACUUGAGUGCAGAAGAGGAGAGUGGAAUUCCAUGUGUAGCGGUGAAAUGCGUAGAUAUAUGGAGGAACACCGGAGGCGAAAGCGGCUCUCUGGCCUGUAACUGACACUGAGGCUCGAAAGCGUGGGGAGCAAACAGGAUUAGAUACCCUGGUAGUCCACGCCGUAAACGAUGAGUGCUAGCUGUAGGGAGCUAUAAGUUCUCUGUAGCGCAGCUAACGCAUUAAGCACUCCGCCUGGGGAGUACGACCGCAAGGUUGAAACUCAAAGGAAUUGACGGGGGCCCGCACAAGCGG
rnacentral:rRNA from 1 species